GACGAACGCUGGCGGCGUGCUUAACACAUGCAAGUCGAACGGAAAGGCCCUGCUUUUGUGGGGUGCUCGAGUGGCGAACGGGUGCGUAACACGUGAGUAACCUGCCCUUGACUUUGGGAUAACUUCAGGAAACUGGGGCUAAUACCGGAUAGGAGCUCCUGCUGCAUGGUGGGGGUUGGAAAGUUUCGGCGGUUGGGGAUGGACUCGCGGCUUAUCAGCUUGUUGGUGGGGUAGUGGCUUACCAAGGCUUUGACGGGUAGCCGGCCUGAGAGGGUGACCGGCCACAUUGGGACUGAGCUACGGCCCAGACUCCUACGGGAGGCAGCAGUGGGGAAUAGUGCACAAUGGGCGGAAGCCUGAUGCAGCAACGCCGCGUGCGGGAUGACGGCCUUCGGGUUGUAAACCGCUUUCGCCUGUGACGAAGCGUGAGUGACGGUAAUGGGUAAAGAAGCACCGGCUAACUACGUG
rnacentral:rRNA from 1 species